rnacentral:rRNA from 1 species
AAUGUUAAGAUUAGCCAUGCAUGUCUCAGUAUAAGCUUCUAUACGGCGAAACUGCGAAUGGCUCAUUAAAACAGUUAUAGUUUAUUUGGUGGUCAGCAAUUACAUGGAUAACCGUGGUAAUUCUAGAGCUAAUACAUGCGCCCAAACCCGACUUCGUGGAAGGGUUGUGUUUAGUAGGUACAGAACCAACCCAGGCUCCGCCUGGCCUUGAGGUGAUUCAUAAUAACCGAACGAAUCGCAUGGCUAUGCCGGCGAUAGACCAUUCAAGUUUCUGACCUAUCAGCUAUCGUCGGUAGGGUAUUGGCCUACCGUGGCAAUGACGGGUAACGGAGAAUUAGGGUUCGAUUCCGGAGAGGGAGCCUGAGAAACGGCUACCACAUCUAAGGAAGGCAGCAGGCGCGCAAAUUACCCAAUCCUGACGCAGGGAGGUAGUGACAAGAAAUAACAAUACAGGGCAUACAUGUCUUGUAAUUGGAAUGAGUAAACUUUAAAUCACUUUA